UACGUAGGUGGCAAGCGUUGUCCGGAUUUACUGGGCGUAAAGCGUGCGUAGGUGGUGUGUUAAGUCUGUCGUGAAAGCCCCGGGCUCAACCUGGGAAUGGCGAUGGAUACUGGCUCGCUAGAGUGCGGUAGAGGAGAGUGGAAUUCCCGGUGUAGCAGUGAAAUGCGUAGAGAUCGGGAGGAACAUCAGUUGCGAAGGCGGCUCUCUGGCCCAGAACUGACACUGAGGCACGAAAGCGUGGGGAGCAAACAGG
rnacentral:rRNA from 1 species